GCCAGUGUGGUGUGGUGGUUUGAGUGUUGGAUUACAAUUCUAGAGACCAGGGUUUAAUUCCCAGCUUGGCC
rnacentral:tRNA from 1 species